rnacentral:rRNA from 1 species
GUCUUGGCCUUAAACGAUGUUCACUAGGUGUUGGGGGGUAACCCUCGGUGCCGCAGCUAACGCAUUAAGUGAACCGCCUGGGGACUACGGCCGCAAGGUUGAAACUCAAAGGAAUUGGCGGGGGACCGCACAAGCGGUGGAGCAUGUGGCUUAAUUCGAUGCAACGCGAAGAACCUUACCAGGGCUUGACAUGUAUCUGCAAGCUGCCGAAAAGCAGUCGCUUUCGAAGGUGAUACACAGGUGGUGCAUGGCUGUCGU